CGAAACUUGCCCCGAGAUGAGUUCUCCCUGAGACUAUAAGUCUCCUGAAGGAACGUUAAAGACGAUGACGUUGAUAGGUCAGGUGUGUAAGUGUAGCGAUACAUUGAGCUAACCGAUACUAAUGAACCGUGAGGCUUAACCUU
rnacentral:rRNA from 1 species